rnacentral:rRNA from 1 species
UACGAAGGGGGCUAGCGUUGUUCGGAUUUACUGGGCGUAAAGAGCGUGUAGGCGGGCCGCUAAGAUGGGGGUGAAAGCCCGGAGCUCAACUCCGGAAUUGCCUUCAUGACUGGCGGCCUGGACUCAAGGAGAGGCAAGUGGAAUUGCGAGUGUAGAGGUGAUAUUCGUAGAUAUUCGCAGGAACACCAGUGGCGAAGGCGACUUGCUGGACUUGUAGUGACGCUGAGACGCGAAAGCUUGGGGAGCAAACAUU